CGACUAGGUUUGACUCCGUGGCCUACAGGACGAACGCUGGCGGCGUGCCUAACACAUGCAAGUCGAACGGGACUUAGUGGAAAGCGGCUUCGGCCAAUGGAAGCUAAGUUUAGUGGCGGACGGGUGAGUAACGCGUGAGUAACCUGCCUUACAGAGGGGGACAACAGUUGGAAACGACUGCUAAUACCGCAUAACGUCUAACUAAGGCAUCUUAGAUAGACCAAAGGAGCAAUCCGCUGUAAGAUGGACUCGCGUCCAAUUAGAUAGUUGGUGGGUAACGGCCCACCAAGUCGACGAUUGGUAGCCGGACUGAGAGGUUGAACGGCCACAUUGGAACUGAGAUACGGUCCAGACUCCUACGGGAGGCAGCAGUGGGGAAUAUUGGGCAAUGGACGAAAGUCUGACCCAGCGACGCCGCGUGAGGGAAGAAGGUCUUCGGAUUGUAAACCUUAGUCAACAGGGAAGAAGCAAGUGACGGUACCUGUGGAGGAAGCCACGGCUAACUACGUG
rnacentral:rRNA from 1 species